UUCUCUUUUAGCUUUGACCAAGGACUCAUAUUUUUGGUUAAACAAUUAUCAAUGUUAGUCAUCUUUAUAUAAGCUGAUGCUAUAACUGAGAAUCUAAAGAGCCUUUUUUAGCAUUGUCACUAAUUUGUCCAAUGAAUAAUUCCUUUUACUUAUUUGUAUUGCUUUCAAUUCUCAUAUAUUACUACUGUUAUUUACUUAUAAAAGAUUAAGUUUGUAUUUUGACAUGCUUAGAUUUUUCUGUUCUUCACUUUUCCUUUGGACUUUAAAUUUUUAUAGUUGAACGAAGGGGUCAUUAUGUUGUUAAUGGAUUUCCAUUACAUUGCUUAUAUUGCUAUUACGAUAUGCUUUUCUUGUGAAGUUGUUAGAUCAAUUUUAUUACAUGAUUAUGGGAAGCUGGUGCAAAUGUUUUCUUAUUCACAAUUGCAGAAUGGCUUGAGCUAAAAGAGGUAGCAAAACCAAGAGCUAUGUCCCCAAAUGAAGGCUCAAGGCAAGGCCUCAUUUGGCACCGGUGUCUCCGCUCAUGUGUGUUAUUAUAACAUACUUCAUGAGCUUAUGCUUGCUUUUUUUUGUGUGUGAAGUUAAGUAGUGUAAUUAGUGUGUCUUUCUUUGUGUGCAUUUGUGUGAAAUAGGAGAUGAUAUUUUGUGAAAGUUUACAAAAAAUAAUUAAAAACACUUUUUAACCUUUUAAGCGUAGUCCUCUGCAAGGAAAACACAUUAUACAUAAUCGGAAUUCUGAAAGUAAAACAUCAAUGACAACCAUUUUUUACUGAAUUUUUUGGAAAAUUAACUGAUAUUAGAGUGAUGUCUAUACUCCUGGCAUUACUCUUAAAAGGAGUGAUAGAUAUCUAAAGUGUUGUGCAUUAGUUUCUUUUGCAGAUAAGGAAACUUGAUGACUCUCUCUUUCACAAUCAGUUCUCUCAAGCGUCUAUUCCCUGUCAGUGGUAGAAAUCCUGGAUCCAGUGUUGUAUUUAUGCAUUAAUUUAAAACAGUUAUCUACUCCUUAGGUAGAGGAGUAUGAUAAGAGACAUAGCAAAAGUUAUUCAAGAAGCAGGAGUCCUCGACGGAGCUAUAGCAGCCAGAGCAAAAGUGUAUCUCCUAGGGGUAAAUACUCUCAUCGCUCUGCGUCUCUCUCGCACUCCAGGUCUUUUUCCCCUGCUCGCUCUGUUUCUAGAUAAUGUAUGAGGAGGCAAGUUAAGUUUUGAAUGAUGAUCUUAGAAGUAUAAGAACUGUUGCGCGUCAUUUUUUGCAAAAGAGGUCUUAGAAAUGUGCCACACGAAAGAGUGAAGGCCCAUUGAAUGCAAGAAUAAAGAAAUAUUUAUUAGCAGCCUGGCAAUUUUUUCACUUCUGAGGAUGGCAUCUAUAUCCAUGACCAGUCAAGCUCAUUGGUGUCAAGUACGACCAGGAGGGGCCCUGUGUCAAUAUUUGCUAUUCCAGACUAGAAAUCAAGAAAAAAAGAUUCUAAGUGAUGAUUUUGGUAUGACACAGGACACUCUGAAGGGUAGUAUCCAAGAAGGCCAGAUGUUUAAACUUUUAGAGACCUUUGCUUGACCAUUUGUUGUGGCAGGGUGAAUUGACAGUGAAUUAUUGCAGAUUUGCUUCCGUUUCUUCUCUAUCUUCUUUCUCCUGAAAAAAUAGUUACAGAGAGAAUUUGCAGUAUUGGGUAAAUUAUUGAUUAGUAUGAAUGGCUGCAAUUCAUGAAUUCUGGAGCAUCUAGAGUUUAAGAGAUGCGCUGAUGAGCUUCUUAGUUGAGACAUAAGUUCGACUUCCGUGUGUUGUGAAAUGUAAAAUUGCACGCCACGGCAUUUGGAGUACCUUAUUUUUCUCUUUUCCCCUAACAUUUAUCGUUAGGAGGCGACAAGACAGCUCGUAAUGUUUUGUGGAGCUUACUCCGAGCAUAGUUGAUAUUAGAUUGUUCUUA